UACGGGGGGGGGCAAGCGUUGUUCGGAAUUACUGGGCGUAAAGGGCGCGUAGGCGGCCUUCUAAGUCAGACGUGAAAUCCCUCGGCUUAACCGGGGAACUGCGUCUGAUACUGGAUGGCUUGAGUUCGGGAGAGGGAUGCGGAAUUCCAGGUGUAGCGGUGAAAUGCGUAGAUAUCUGGAGGAACACCGGUGCGAGGACGGCGAUCCUGGACCGAUACUGACGCUGAGGAGCGAAAGCCAGGGGAGCAAACGGG
rnacentral:rRNA from 1 species